CUGGUCAUCAGCAGAUGCCUUGGAGGAGGCCAGCAAAAGGCAUCUGUGACUCCCCUGGAGACUUCAUGAGGAUCUGGCAGGAGUUGGAGGGCCUGCGUGAACAGGACAGAAUGUAAAUGUAAACAACCUCAGCAAUGCCACCAUGUAGGUGACUGAAGGAGGGAUAUAGAGAGAAGGAGAAAAGGUGGAGGAAAAGGUGAAGCAUCGAGGAGUUGUCUGACGCUUGCAGCUCACCCAGAUUGCAGAAGACAGGGGCCACGUGCCCAUUAGCCUGAGGGGACACUCAGAAGCCUCCACCACCUACGGCCCAUGGGUUCUGAAACCAAAGUGAAUCACUUCUGGGGAAGACAACGACGUGUUUACUUUUCACGGAAUUGAAAAUUGAAGGUAAACUGGCAAUGGUCCAGUGAUGGCUGCUUUUGAAGUGAGGAUGACUUGGAGCAGAGUCCCCACCAACUCUUGAUGGACAUGUAAGGAGAGGGAGAAAUAAGCUUUUACUGUUAUACGUCAUGAAGAUAGUUGCCUUAUUUGUUACUGCAGCAUAGCCUAGCCUGUUCUACCUGACUCUCCUAAUCCCCACUGGGAAGAGGGGGCUUCUAGCUGCCAACGGGAGCAUAUUUUGUGGGAAGAAUCUAUGUUCACAGUUCAUAGAAACACCUCUCUAGAUGAUAGUUUGAAAAAGUCCUUCUCACUUCCAGUCCAGGGAAAUACAUACUAUCUGGGCCACAGGAGAGAACCAAGUUUCCAUAAAAAGUUAGCUGUAUAUAAUUUUGCUGUGGAAGGAUAGAUAAUUAACCAAAUUCUUUCAAUUGCUUUGUUACAGUUUAUGAUUAAACUAAACUGUCUUUCUUCCUAGGCCUGUGUGCAACCUGCAGCCUCUACAGCCUAUGUGCAUAUGCCAUUUCCACUCUUUAUCUGAAUGCAUUUUGUUCCUUCAACAGGACUGGGGUGAAAGAUCAUGAGCUAAUCAUUCUUCAACAGUGAUGAAACCUGGCAGCGUUCUUGUCUAGAGCAUAAUUGUUUUCUUAAUGAACUCUUACAUCUGUCCUCUGUAGGAGAGGCUUUGGAAAAGAUUUGCUUUAGGAUCCUUAAGAGUAAGCAUAGGGUUAUAAACAGUGGCCUGUCACAAUUUUAUUCUCAUCAAACCGGCAGUAGGAAGUAUGUGUGUGAAGUAUCUGUAUAGUAAGGUUCAGUAUACAUGAGCUAUGAUUAUGAUUAUGAUUAUUUUUAAAAUAGAGGAAACCCUUGAAUGGUUAUGGAAUUGUAGCUUGGGUUCCCUAGAACAAAGCUUAAGGCAGGGCUUAAAUGCUAAUGCUUAUGCUUCAUUAGGGGAUGCAAUUUCAGAGUUUAGAGAGUAAGGCAAGGGAAGCAGGUAAAGCAAGUCAAAGGUGGUGGUUUCCGAACCUGCCACACCUCCAAAGAAAAAACAGCUGGUUGCUUCAAGGGCUCUGGAGACGUUAUGAGGAACCACUGUACCUCAGAACAAUCUGUCAAGGGAAGGACAGGAGCAGUGUUUUCUUGCUGGCUUCUUUCUCCCUCCUGCCUCUCACUAGUCAGGUGUUAUUUCACUGGGGGUUAAUCUCUGCCCCCCACACACACAUGCACUGCAGGUUGUGUUCUCAGCCACUCUGGGAUAGGGCCAAUCCCCAACCUCAUGCCCUAAUGUUUAAUCCAUGCCCCAAGAGGAAGAGGACCUGAGCCUUUAUGGGUCUAAUAAGGUCUGUACAGGGCACCUGAGUUGCUGCCAGUGGUGAUAGGAAAUAGGGUGGCAGCAGCUACUGUUCUCUUGAGCAAAAUCCAAGACCUAGGGACAUGUGGGGCAGAGUGAUCUGGGGAGGUACAUAAACUGAACCUGACACAAGUACUUGGUAUUUAAUUGAAAGAAGUAUGAUAUUUCUAUGUGGAGACAAUAAUGAGUCUUUAAAAAAUUUUUCAUGUGGGCAAUUAAAUGCUUGUAAUUAUAGAUAGUUGUCAGCCUGCUUCAAAGGGCUGUGGAGCUUCUCAGAAGAAAGCAGCUUGGAUAUGGUUUAAGAUUAAGAUAUUACAAACUGUGUCAGAACUGGUAACCUCAAAUGCCCAGAUUGUUGGGAAUCACGAGACCCGGUUAGCCUCCUGGAAACUUAGAGAGGGGGAGAUCUGAGUCAGUUCUACAAGAGUGGUCAGUAAGUCCUUUGUGGCAAACUUUUCAAAGACAAAGGGCUAGAGAUGACACUUAUCCUAUUGCACCCAAGUAGGGCUUGCCAGCAGGUGUACUUGCACACACUCAAAUAAACAAACAAAACCAAGGCGUUAGGUUACGGGCCACUGAAAGAAUUUGGAGAGUCAGUUAUGCCUACUUGGUACCAGAAAUCAUCCAAAUAUCCAAACUGUGAGUAUCACACACAAGUGAGUAUGAUUCACUAGAGCAUCUUCCAAGAUGCAAGAUGAGCUGGAAGUAAAGGUCUGUUUGGCCAAGUGUGUUUGGAAUUGCUAUGUGCAUUGCCUUGUCUUGGGAUGCUUAAAUAGCAUGAAGGCUCCAAGAUAUCCUAUUGUUAAACAGCCUGUUUAUCCUAGCAUUUCCCAAACUUUUUUCAUCAUAGGUCCUUCUCUUUUGCAUGACAAUUAUCAGCCUUCCGAGGGACUGUAAAUCCUUAGAGAAAACUUAGGGAAACUCUAGACUGUCGAGAAAAGUGGUGUGAUUUCGUAGGAAUUCAGGCAGUUGAGAGCGCGAGAACUGUGCUCUAGGACUGCUUUGGAUAUUAACCCUCUGUGACUUUAAAAUCAAGUGGCAUAACCACAUCCUGCCUUAGUUUCUUUGUUUUCCAAAUAACAUGUGGUAACAAGGUAGUAUUUUAUAUGGUCACGAGGAAGACCAGAUGAAGGAAUGGAUGUGAAGCAUUUUGGAAAAUUAAAAGGAAAUGAAAAACGAGUGAACUCUCUGCUCUUCAAGUGAAUGUUGUGGUCUACGAUUGAUCCAAUAAGCACUCUCAUCUUUACAAAUGAGUCCUGUGCUGAUCUGAGCAGGUUUUGCCUUUUUGACAGGCUCUUAGGUAGUUCUGAGAAUGCAGAGAGCCAGGAGGAGCGAUGUUGAGUGGUUGCCAGAGCCAAAUGAGGAAGCCCUGCUGCCAGCUUCCCACCAAAACAUGGGUGUUUAGACCAUUUUAUUCAAAACCAGCUCUUUGAAGGCACUAAGUGCUGAAUAAAUAUUGCUAAAAUAUGUGUGUGGCUUCUCUACUUGAGAGAGAGGAAAUGAAUAAUUGACUUCAGAGUUCCACCCCAUCCACAUAUCUCUUCCUGCAUAUGUGUAUCUCUUCCAGCAUGUUCCUUCUGGGUAAAAAUGGAAAGAAGAGUGUGAAUCAUCAACUCCUCCAAUAACAGAACAGGAACGGACUCUCGGGCUCAUCUUUUCCCCCUCUCUACUUGACAGAGGAGUAAACUGAGACCCGAGAACUACACCAACUUAUCCCUGCUCAAAAGAACUGUUGGGAGUGGAGCUGGACUCGGUUCUCCAUCAUUCUGAGCCAGUACUCUUCCACUAUACCACAUGGCCUCAUUUCCUACUCUCCAAUGAUUUGAAAAUGUUACUAUUAGAGACCCACUAGACCCUUAAAUAUAAGUGAACCAAAGAGGAAAUUUGCUAGGAUUACAUAAAAUCACCAAAGGGUGGCCAUGUUGCAAAGCAGCCUGCUCUCCAGUUAAAAUGGCUUUUCUAGAGGAGGUUAUAUGGAAUGACAGACUGAGGACAGAUGAGCUGAAUCAGGUUGCGUUCCUUAGAAGCAGAGUCAGGGUAGGGCAGAGGGAGAAGCCUAGCAAGGAUGUGGCCUUGGGUAAGGCCUUGCUUUGGUCUGAUCCAUGGGAGGAAGAUUCUGGAGCACAUAUCAGACAGAGUAGUUGUCCCUUUUUAGACAAGAAGCUCAACUUUCUAUAUGCCCAUGUAUGUCAGGCAUUGGCUGUAUGUCUCUGGGAUGGGUGCUUAUCUUCCCAGGCAAGACAGCUCCUGUCCUCCAAGGGUGGUUCUCCAGAGAAGGGGACAGCUGUGAGUCAUUAGCAGCCACCUGUCACAACAGGCAAAGUCAGGGCGUCUGCUGGUUAAGGGGAUCUGGGCCCAGCCCCCACAGCAUCUAGCACAGGAGCAGAGUGUGGGUGCAGGAGCGGGAACAAGGUUUAACAGAAACAGACCCACUGUCAUUCCCUUGGAAGUGGGCAUUUGCUCAGACCCAUCAAGGCUGGACAGAACAGGCAACCAAGUGAAACCAUCAGACCAUCGUGUUUGUCUUUGUUUCUCUCUGUGGUCAUGCUCAGAGAACUUCGUCCCUCUCAGUUUCGCAUUUCCUUCAGGCUUUAUCUUGCACUUUAAUUGUAAUAAUCUAAGCAAAGACAACAAGGAGAAGGAGAGGUGUGAUGACAUCUCUUGAUGCCUUGGCAGCCAUCUUUGAUGCUCACACUGCCCAGAGAAGCCUUCCAGAACUUUCUCAUUUCACAGUGAGAUGGCAACCAUGGCUGCCCACCAUAUACUCAUGGAAUAAAAAUGGGGUGUGGUACUCUCCCACCUUGAUAAAUUGGGAAAUUCUCUCAUGCCCUUUCUCAGUUCUCUGUGGUAUGUGAACUUGACGUUCCAGGCCAAAUGAGUCAGCAGAGAUGGCAAUGCUACAUUUAUUUGCACAAAAACGUGUCAGCAGUUCUCUAAAAAAACAAAUGCAUUCUUAUCAUACUGUGAAUAAAAUAUUAAUUCUUCACUUUGAAGAGAUUAGGUCACGAUGCUGUAGCAUGACAUUUUAUUGUUGGGAAAGGCUUUAGGACAAUUCUUGUCCAGUUUCCUCAUUUUAAAGUGGAGAAACUGAGGCCCAGAGAAAUGAGAAUGAUUUAGCUAAGAGCAUAGAGCUAGUUAAUGGCAGAAAUUGUAAGGAUCAUUCUUUAAAAACAAACAAACAAAAACCUAGGAAGUUUCUAUCGGGUGCCAAAGUGCCAAAGCUUGUUCUGGGAGCCAAACACACCACAUUGACUAAGAUCCAGCGGCUGCCCUCCAGGAAGGCACAAUGCACCAUGAAUGGCCAACUAAACACUUUCUAGCAUGUGUUCCAUUUGAAGUCCUUAUAGGGUAUGGGGGAUGCUGGGUGGCAGAUAGAAUGGGAUUGGCCUGGGGAAUUUUGGGGAAGCUUUGCAGAGGAGGAGAUAUUUAUGUUGAAACUUAGAAGAUGAAUCAGAUUUUCAGAUUCAGGAAAGAGAGAAAGAAGUGUAAAGAAGGCACCCCCACAAAAGGCACAGCCUGAAUGAUGGCAGAGAAAUGGGAAGGAAUGGGAUUUUUCAGGGGAAGGUGCAGGUGAAUCUGAAUAGCUGCUCAGGAGAGCUCCAGAGGAGAAAUGCUGUGUGGACCAUGAGUCUGGGAACUAAGCCUGGCAGGAGAGGUAGGAGAGAAGGAAAUGAAGAAGAUUGAACUCGCAAAGCAGAUUUGACCUUUGAGCAGUGAUUUGAAGAGCCAAGAUUAUGGCCUCUUAACUACAAAAUCUCUACCUGACCCUAUCCAGCACCUUUUUCAGCCAUGAUGCUUAAAAUUCACUGUUUAGGAUUUAUUCCUUUGGGCAUUGAAGAUGUCUUUGCCUUAAGUAAACCCUAUUAAAAUGUAAUGCCUCUGAGUGAGAUUAGCAUAAUCCAUCAGGUAAUGCCUCCAGAAAUUUGUUGACAACUAGAUGACAGCUAGCUGAAAACAAGAUCUGGCGGAAAGGAAACAGAGGAGACACGUAGGGGAGGGCGUUAGGUGCCAAAAGAGAGGGGAAGGUGCUGAGAGGGGAGGUUUUGAAAUUGUGCCUGUGGUUGGCCCUGCCUGAGAACUGUAUGUGCAGGCCAGGUAUGGGGUCAAAAGGAACUUUAUGUGGCCUAGAGACUAAUGGUGGUUGCCCAGGCCCUCCGUUCUGAUGGGGAACACAAUGCAUGUAGACAGAGAAUUGUCCCUUCUGCAAGUGGCCUCAGGGAAUGAGAGUGCAGACUCUAAAUCUGUCCACCUUAUUUGGUUUGAAGGGGAGAAAGAGGAAGUGUUGGCUCACAUAAAACUCUAGUUUCUCUUCCUCGGGUAGGGAAACAUGACGAACGUAACUCCAAAUUUGGAUAUUCUUAGACUCUGUUGGGAAUCUGCUUGUACGUACUGGAAACUGGUACAGGUUUUACAUUAAACUUGCUUCAAUCAUCUCCAGGAGGUGCAUUACACUUAUCUCCAAAUUUGAGUGAAAUUGCCUGCCUAUUCUAUAAUAACAAAAAUAUCACAGAGCUACUAAGUGCCUGAGCAAAGCUCUGAAGCCAUUUCUGUUAUUAAGCCAUGAGUAAUAUCUGCCAGUGGUAGCCAGCCCCCAAGAUGGUCCCGGUAUUCAUGCCCUUGUUAGUGUCUCCUCCUGCACGGGAUAGGGCUGACUGUGUAACCAACAGGAUAUUGCAGAAAAGAUGGAGAGUGAUUUCUGAGGCUGGGCAUAAAAGACGAUGUGUUUCCAGCUUGUGUCCUUGGACCACUGGCACUGUGGGAAGCCUGCUGUCAUGUCGUGAGGACUUAUGCAGCCUAUGGAUGGACCAGUGUGGUCAAGACCUAAGGCCUCUUGCCAACAGCCAUGUGAGGGAGUCAUCUUGGAAGUGGAUCCUCUGACUCCGAAAACCCUUCAAAUGACUCCACUCCCAGCACAUAUCGGGACUGCAACAUCGUGAGAGACCCUUAGCCACUCCCAAAUUCCUGACCCCAAAAUACUAUGGACAAUAAAUUUUUAUUGUUUUAAGCCUCUAAGUUUAAGGGUAAUUUGUUAUACAGCAGCAGAUCAUCUAAUGUACUGCCUAAUAUGAUGAAAUUCGGGGUAACGUGUAGGAGAAUGCUGAGAACAUAUUACUUCACACUGUAGAAAGGAUAUGGAUUUCUUUAAACACGUCACAAUCCUAAAAGGUCUAUCCAAUGAUCCAGGGGCCUGAAUGGGCCACCAAAAUAAUAGAGGGAUGUCUCUAUACAGAUUUAUUCAACAAAAUGAUAGAUGGGUAUACAGGAAAACCUGCUCAGAUGUGCCCUGUAGUUCUGAUAUGCAAGGGAGACUAUUGGAGGUAUGCCCUGAUGAAAAGGGAAGGGAAACAGCAAUCGCAUCUAGAGUUUACAGACUUAGAUAGCAUUGCUUCGAACCUCACUGACGUCUUGCUUUCCCAGAAAAUGGGAAAUGAAAUAAAAACUGAAGGGGGAGGGGUGACUUAUCCCUAGGGAGGUUCAGCAGAUUUAGUGAGAUCAUGAAGAUAGCACAUCCUAACUAAAACCAUGAACUUGGUCAACCCAGUCCUCCUGCCCCACUAGGUCAUAUUCCAGCUGACCUCAAUAGAGACAGUUCCAUUCAAAGAUUAUCAUUAAACAGAAGAGAACCAUAUAGACCUUAUGCAUUGAUUCUCAUGGUGGGAAAGGGAGGAAGGAGCACAAGCAAAGGCAGAUGGUCAGCAUUCCUUCUCCUAAAUUUGGUAAUAGGCCCCAAUUUUUUGUGGGGGGGGGGCCUUACUCACUCUCAUUUCAUGUGGCUCUGGUGUGAUAACCAAUCAUUCUCUCCCACUUUUGCUGCCAGAGGUAUGUGAUCCAAAUCUGGCCAAUAAGAAUAACCAUUUAUGAAGCCAAACUGGUAGCUUCAAGGAUAAGCAUGUGAUUGAAUGUGGACCAAUCAGAGUCUUCCCUGGAAUGUCUCUGUCAGUGCUCUGGCCAAAGAUGCUCUUUUCUUAACAGUGUUGCUAAGCAUUAGAAUAUGAGUCUUGAGUUGGCAGCGGCUAUCAUGGCAACCACUUGUAGAGAGCUUAACCAGUAGAUGGAGAGCUGAAGACAUCAGUUGAGAUCCUAGAUGUUCCUAAAACUGCAUUGCCCUUGGACUUUUCAGUGAUAUGAACAAAUAAAUUCACUUUUACACUAAGCUAGUUUGAGUUGAGUGUCUAUCAUUUGCAACCAAGUAAGUACAGAUCAAUUCAUUAUUACAAAACAGAAAAGUUCACAAAAUAGUCCCUUAGAGUCUUAGAGAAUUGAAAGAUGGCACAGACUAUUUGGAAGAAAAAAAAACCACCUCAAAAAGAAAUAAGGAAGAUGAAAGAAAAGAUGGUGAGCGGAAAAGUUGAAAAGCAAGCUGGCAAAACAUGGAAAAGAAACAGAAGAGAAAAUCAAACUAUUGCAAAGAAGAAAGCCACGUAAAGAAAAUAUAAAAGGUAAAAAGAAAUUGGAUGUAAACAUUGUUAGAGACAUGGAUAACAGGCUUGAGGGAAUUAUUAUUUUAUAAUCACAAGAUAUAAUUUUUAAAAAUAAAGUGAUAGCAAUUAAAUGAAAAGCAUGUGCAGGGGAGGAAGACAUUUCCUCUUCCCAAAUAUGGGUUCGUCUGGCUGGAGAACGAAUUAAACUCACAUGAGACAGAAUAGCAAGAGAAAAUUAAACAAAGCUUUAUGAGGAACCAUGGUCCAGGGCCUUUCUUCCUGAAGGAAGAAAGGGCACCGAAGAAGUGGGGUGCACAGAGUGGUUAUAUACCCCCAAACAGGGUGUUUCACAUGUGAUUGAAAUGUCCCUCCCACAAUAGUCACAAGAUUGCCCUGUCGGCACAGCGCUUGAUGGACUCAGCAGGUAGUGGUCUGCUAUCUCGGUGGGCGUAGCAGGAGGCAAGUCUAUUGUCUGGAGCUGGGCGGUCACAGGUGAGCGCAGCAAUCAGUUCCUAGCCUAAGGAAAGAUGCUAAAUCCUUAAAGAAAUGCCAAAGUUGGGAGGGAGAGGAAAGUCAGUUACAGGAGGUUACCAGACAAACACAAUAAAAUGCAGAUUUAAGUCCUUGCCUUUGGUAUUGAUUAAGAGUUUCUAGAGAGAAGGUCAUCUCCUUUCUUCUUCCUGGUACAGCGAGGGAGGCACAUUUUACAGAUAGAGAUUUACCUUACAAAUGUAAAUGUGUCCUAACAAAGGGUAAGUUCCAUUCCUCAGAGCCUCCUUCCCUGUCCCAGUUUAUCAAAAGCAAUCAGCCUCAAAUAAUCCUGAUGCCAAAGAGACAUAUCUUGGGGUGGCCAAUUUCACGUCCCCACACAUGGAAGGCAGACAAAGGCAAUCACAUAUGUAUGUACACAUAUACAUGCAUAUACAGUCAUGUGUCACUUAAGGAUGGGGACAUGUUCUGAGAAAUGCAUCGUUAGCAGAUUUUGUCAUUGUGCAAACUUCACAGAGUGGACUUACACAGACCUAGAUGGUAUAGCCUUCUACACGCCUAGGCUAUAUGGCACUCAUGUCAUGGGACCCCUGUUGUAUAUACAGUCUGUAGCUGACUGAAACACCAUUAUGUGGUGCAAGACUGUAUGUAAGUUAUGUUAUAUACUAUAUAUAUAUGCAUAUACACGGCUGGUGUUUAUGAAUAAUUAUAAUAGCUAAUAUUUACAUGGUGCUUACUACAUGUCAGGCAUUUCCUAAAGCCUUUGUUAACUCAUUUACUCUUUAUAAGAGCUGUAUGAAAGCAGGU
ensembl:lncRNA